CCUACGGGAGACUGCAGUCGAGAAUCAUUCACAAUGGGGGAAACCCUGAUGGUGCGACGCCGCGUGGGGGAAUGAAGGUCUUCGGAUUGUAAACCCCUGUCAUGUGGGAGCAAAUUAAAAAGAUAGUACCACAAGAGGAAGAGACGGCUAACUCUGUGCCAGCAGCCGCGGGAAUACAGAGGUCUCAAGCGGUGUUCGGAAUCACUGGGCGUAAAGCGUGCGUAGGCUGUUUCGUAAGUCGUGUGUGAAAGGCGCGGGCUCAACCCGCGGACGGCACAUGAUACUGCGAGACUAGAGUAAUGGAGGGGGAACCGGAAUUCUCGGUGUAGCAGUGAAAUGCGUAGAUAUCGAGAGGAACACUCGUGGCGAAGGCGGGUUCCUGGACAUUAACUGACGCUGAGGCACGAAGGCCAGGGGAGCGAAAGGGAUUAGAUACCCUUGUAGUC
rnacentral:rRNA from 1 species